rnacentral:lncRNA from 1 species
AAAAUACACAAAUACCAUUGUGUUACAACUGCCUACGGUAUCCAGUACGGUGCUGCUCAGGUUUGUAGACUCCCUUUGUCUUUUCUUUUCUUUUUUUUUUUUUUGAGACAGAGUUUCACUCUUGCUGCCAGGAUGGAGUGCAAUGCUGCAAUCUUGGCUCACCAAAACCUCCACUUCCCAGGUUCAAGUGAUUCUCCUGCCUCAGCCUCCCAAAUAGCUGAGAUUACAAGCAUGCA